GCUUUCUUCAGCAGUACAUAAAGUUGGAACAAGACAGAAGAGUAGUGUGGCCCUUGAACAAGGAUAACGUGUAAAUUUGUGAAGUAUUUUAUUUUUGU
rnacentral:snRNA from 1 species